AUGCUCACUGCGCCUGCGCUGGCUGUGUUUCCCACCCCCAGGCUGCUGCUGUCCCUACCGAAUCUUGCUGUGUGCGUUGAGAUCAGAAAAUGGGCAAUUUUUCUCAGCUCCUCAGGCUCCAAGGUGCUGGCAACACGGGAAGGAGAUGAGAGAUCAAGAAAUAUUAUCCAGUGGCUCUAUGCAGUUCAAAGGGUAGAAGAAAGAAGACCCAGUCAAGGUUUUCGGAUUGGCAGUCUCCAGGUGACAUCUGGUUUUUCUGCCUCCCCCCGAAGGUGGAACAGCAUUGGAAUGAAAAUGGGUCAUUUGGAGAAUUAA
rnacentral:lncRNA from 1 species